GACGUAGGGCGCGAGCGUUGUCCGGAUUUAUUGGGCGUAAAGAGCUCGUAGGCGGCUUGUCGCGUCGUCCGUGAAAACCCACAGCUCAACUGUGGGCUUGCGGUCGAUACGGGCAGGCUAGAGUUCGGUAGGGGAGACUGGAAUUCCUGGUGUAGCGGUGAAAUGCGCAGAUAUCAGGAGGAACACCGGUGGCGAAGGCGGGUCUCUGGGCCGAUACUGACGCUGAGGAGCGAAAGCUGGGGAGCGAACAGG
rnacentral:rRNA from 1 species